rnacentral:rRNA from 1 species
UGGGGAAUAUUGCACAAUGGGGGAAACCCUGAUGCAGCGACGCCGCGUGGAGGAAGAAGGUCUUCGGAUUGUAAACUCCUGUUGUUGAGGAAGAUAAUGACGGUACUCAACAAGGAAGUGACGGCUAACUACGUGCCAGCAGCCGCGGUAAAACGUAGGUCACAAGGCGUUGUCCGGAAUUACUGGGUGUAAAGGGAGCGCAGGCGGGAGAACAAGUUGGAAGUGAAAUCCAUGGGCUCAACCCAUGAACUGCUUUCAAAACUGUUUUCUUGAGUAGUGCAGAGGUAGGCGGAAUUCCCGGUGUAGCGGUGGAAUGCGUAGAUAUCGGGAGGAACACCAGUGGCGAAGGCGGCCUACUGGGCACCAACUGACGCUGAGGCUUGAAAGUGUGGGUAGCAAACAGGAUUAGAUACCCCAGU